rnacentral:rRNA from 1 species
UACGUAGGGUGCAAGCGUUGUCCGGAAUUAUUGGGCGUAAAGAGCUCGUAGGCGGUCUGUUGCGUCGGCUGUGAAAACCCGGGGCUCAACCCCGGACUUGCAGUGGGUACGGGCAGACUAGAGUGUGGUAGGGGAGACUGGAAUUCCUGGUGUAGCGGUGAAAUGCGCAGAUGUCAGGAGGAACACCGAUGGCGAAGGCAGGUCUCUGGGCCACUACUGACGCUGAGAAGCGAAAGCAUGGGGAGCGAACAGG